GACGAAGAAUAAACGAGAAAUAGAGGCGGAAUAGGAGAAGGAGCUAAGGUGGAAUAUUUAGAUGUUUGUCGGGUUCCUGAAGAUGCGUCGACGUGUUAUCAUCCACGCAAGCUUCCGCAACCCAGCCAGUGUACCACAGGACGGGAAGAGGAAGCCAGCGGCUGCAUGCACCAUUGAACCGGACGGCAUUGUAUUCCUCCCACAGGAGUGACUACAGCGAAGCAAGCCCAGAAUAAAGUGUUGAGUGACCGUGAUGAUUCAGUACUACUAACACCAAAGAAGUGAAGGAAGUGUUCGGAGUGAACGUGCAAGACAUACAACAGACACCAGACUGCUGCCGCUGCUGCUACUGCCGGUGUAGCCAAAGGAACAAAAGGUCCGGAGCAGGAGGAAGAAAUGGGUGAUUCUUGGAAACGCAGCAAUGAAGUUGUGAAGGUUGGCCACAAAUCUUCAUCACAGAUGUCUCCGGUGUGUCGCCUAGUGUGUUCCCUUGUCCCGCUCGAGAGAGAGACUCGGAUCACCACCGCGUCGAGCCGCCUGCCCACCUCCCUCCAUUCUCCUUCGCCUCUCACUUGAGUAUUGUGAAUGUUGUAUUUAUUUUCAUCACGCCUCUGUGUUUGUAAAGGGAGAGUGUUCCAAUAAGUGAGCUCUGUUUGCAGUCACAUGUGUAUUUCAAAGGUGUUUUGCCAAGUGCUGUGCUGAGGUGUUGUGGUGUAUCUGUCUGUACAGUGUUCGAGCUAGCUUUCGCCCACUUUUGUGACGCUACCUUCCGUACUGCAUUAAUGUCUGUGGAUUUCCCUCUUUUACCCCCGUCCUGAUAAACCUUAAAAUUGUGGUUAUGUUGGUUCAGUGUACAUUUCCCUCGUGUAACGGAGUGGUAAGUCAACCUCCCUCCACGCACAACAGUGUCGGGAAUCAUUUCCCCCGUGUCACGGUGUCAUGGGAUAUUUUCUCUUAUGUCUGUUUGCUUGUGGGGUAAUGAUACGUGUAGUGUGGCAUACUGGUGAGUGAAGCUGCAUAACUCUCUACUCUCCAUCGUGGAUCUGUUUCCCCAUGAUUAUUACUCUUGUAUGGGUUAUCAUUGGUGAUUAUGGUGCUUGUUAGUGAAGCUAUCUUUGCUUAAUAUAUGUACUAUUUUUGA